rnacentral:rRNA from 1 species
UACAGAGAGUACAAGCGUUAUCCGGAUUUACUGGGCGUAAAGCGUUUCGUAGGUGAUUUACUAAGUUAUGUUUCAAAUAUCGGGGCUCAACCCCGAAAAGGGAUGUAAUACUGGUAGGAUAAGAAUUAUGUCGGGGCUAUUGGAACUGUCGGUGUAGGGGUGAAAUCCGUUGAUAUCGACAGGAACUCCGAGGGCGAAGGCAGAUAGCUAGGCAUAUAUUGACACUGAGGAACGAAAGCUAGGGGAGCGAAAGGG